AGAUCGGCCAUAUUGCGCAGUCACGGGCUGUGGCAGACGCCAUCUUGGUUUUGUGGAAGUUUGUCCAUCUCUCUACCCAGAGGGAAUGACGAAAUUGGGCUGGUGAACUCAUACAGGGAACCAUCUUUGGCCCUGGCAAAGGCUACUGGGGUUGUCAAGGGUGGCUUCACCAUGAUGGAGACGGGGAAGCUGAAGCUAAAGUGGACAUGUUGCUUUUGGGGAGCGUUGCUAAGAGCGUCAGAAGCAUGCUCUAUCAGAUUACAGUUCAUGGUGAAGAAACUAGAUUCUUUGUGAAUUACUCCUCUGUCCAUACUAAAAUCUUCAACAAUAUUGGAACAAUGAUGAAGUAUUUUUCCAGCAAGUGCUCCUGGCUUGUGAUUCUGAUAAAGUUGCCUUUUCCAUUCA